GCCCCUUCCGGGACAUCUGAUAAAAAUUGGAAUGAUACAAAGAAAAUUAGCAUGCCUCUUGUGCAAGAAUGACAACACACAAAUCACGAAAUGCUCAAUUCUCAC
rfam:Solanum lycopersicum cultivar Heinz 1706 chromosome 8, whole genome shotgun sequence.